rnacentral:rRNA from 1 species
UGGGGAAUAUUGCGCAAUGGGGGAAACCCUGACGCAGCAACGCCGCGUGAAGGAAGAAGGCCUUCGGGUUGUAAACUUUUGUCUUUGGGGAAGAAAAAUGACUGUACCCAAGGAGGAAGCCACGGCUAACUACGUGCCAGCAGCCGCGGUAAUACGUAGGUGGCAAGCGUUAUCCGGAUUUACUGGGUGUAAAGGGAGCGUAGGCGGGACUUUAAGUCAGAUGUGAAAUUCUGGGGCUCAACCCCAGACCUGCAUUUGAAACUGGAGUUCUUGAGUGUCGGAGAGGUAAGUGGAAUUCCUAGUGUAGCGGUGAAAUGCGUAGAUAUUAGGAGGAACACCAGUGGCGAAGGCGACUUACUGGACGAUAACUGACGCUGAGGCUCGAAAGUGUGGGGAGCAAACA